AGCGAACGCUGGCGGCAUGCCUAACACAUGCAAGUCGAACGAGACCUUCGGGUCUAGUGGCGCACGGGUGCGUAACGCGUGGGAACCUGCCCUUAGGUUCGGAAUAACUCCCCGAAAGGGGUGCUAAUACCGGAUAAUGUCUUCGGACCAAAGAUUUAUCGCCUUUGGAUGGGCCCGCGUUGGAUUAGCUAGUUGGUGGGGUAAAAGCCUACCAAGGCGACGAUCCAUAGCUGGUCUGAGAGGAUGAUCAGCCACACUGGGACUGAGACACGGCCCAGACUCCUACGGGAGGCAGCAGUGGGGAAUAUUGGACAAUGGGCGAAAGCCUGAUCCAGCAAUGCCGCGUGAGUGAUGAAGGCCUUAGGGUUGUAAAGCUCUUUUACCCGGGAUGAUAAUGACAGUACCGGGAGAAUAAGCUCCGGCUAACUCCGUG
rnacentral:rRNA from 1 species